CUUUACAUAUCAAAGCGCUACAUUCAUUUCAAGUAUUCACCUGACCUGAAGAGCAUGAAUUGGCCCAUUUAUUUCUCUCCUAAGCAACACAUGUUGCAGAUGAGUGUUUGUGUUGUGUGCAGAUGCUGUGGCGUCUCUCACAGGGUAGUGUUAUAUCUCAGAGAUGUGGAUAGUUGUUAUCUUCUGUCUGUGGAGGAUUAUCUGAAAAAUGGUGUGUUUCGCAGUAUAGCCAGUGUAAGGUCCGGCAGCCGCUACUAUGGCAAGCGCAGAUGCGGGAAGACAGCGGCCUCGUUGGAGAAAGGGCACCCAGAGUCUUUCACGGGGGCUGUUCUGCUGCUCAUGUUUGCGAGGGGAGGAGAAGGAUUCUCUGCAGGGACAGGAAAGGAAGAUUAAUAGUGGCCCUCAGGAUCCACACUUGGAUCAGCGGGGAUCAGGUGAGAUGCAGGCUAUCCAGAUUACAGUGGAGGAUCUGGGCAUAGUUAACAGCAGCUUCAGCCUGUUCGAGGAGGACCUCCUGACCCCGGGGACCAGCAUGGCCUGCUCAGCCAGCUCCGUGUGUGCCUGCACCAGGGCCCUGAAGAAGAAACGACUGAAGCCCCUGUCUUCCCUCCCUAUCCAGGCCAAAAUGGCUGCCACUUGUACCAGUGUCGAAGAUGACGAAGAAGAGGAGGAAGACACGUUACUGUUUGGGAGUGGCACCAAUAGCACGGCAGCUUCGGGAAGCCUCCUGACACAACCUGUCAUUAAUCUGAUACCACCCACUCCCUCUGACGUGGCCGACGACGAUCAGUUCUUUGACAUUAAUUCAGAGGAGAGCGUGGCGCACACAUCUGGAAGUGACGGAAGCUUUGCUGCUGGCGACGAGGAUAGUUACAAAGAGAAGACAGAGAGGGUGGAGACCGAGGAGUCAUCAGAGGAAUUCACAGUGGCUGAGAGUAAGGUCAGUGCUGAUGGUGCAGCAACUGAGGAGGGCCAAAGUGAUCAGUUGGGAGAAGAUAAAGAGCCCAUGCCAACCGAAGUGGGGGAUAAAGAGAAAACAAAACCCAGGUUCUUACGUAGCAUCUACCAGGUGGCUCCUCUUCCUGAGUGCUCUCAGAAAAGGAUCUUCAACACUGGAAUAAAUCUCAUGGCAUUUACUGAGCACAACCUGGAUGACCUGGGCAAAAGAGAUGUGAGCUGCUCUGACACGCUGACAGCUGAUCUGCCUCCUCACGCCACCGACAUGGACACAUUCACUCACCAGCGGAGGCCGAUAACUCGCUCCUGCAGUGUUGGGGACACACUGAACAGGAGCGCCACUUUCCACGCUUUAACUCAACCCUCACACCACCAGGAUGAGGAGGGCUCGCCACGACGACGCAUAACCGUUGCAUCAUAUAUGCCUCAGUCUAAGGAUCAGAAUGGAAACUUCCCUGAGAAGGACACAGACAAGCAAGUGGCCAAAUCUCUCAGGGAGCUGAACACAGAGGAAGUCUGCCACUGGUUUACGAGUAUUGGACUGGAGAAAUGUCUCCCUUCCAUCAGAGAAGCAAAACUGUGUGGAGCAGACAUCGCUUCGGUGGAUGUGAACACUCUGGACAUCCUUCACAUCGCAACACUGGAAGAGAGGGAGCAGCUACUGUCGGCCAUUUAUAAUGAGCUACACCCUCCCACCAGCACCACCAAAAGAAUUGACUCCCUGCUUGAAUUUUUAGGCAAUAAUAACGUUGAGACAUUCACUGCGACACUGGCAUCAAUGAGCAAGUCGAAGUCUUCUCCUCAUGUGAGCUGCCUGAGCAUGAAUCGACGUUCCCUGAAACUCAGAAACAACAGCCAAAACUCCACUGGACAGAGGAAUCCUCAGAUGAUAGAGAUUACUAUCAACGCGUCAGAGCGGAUAGUUCAUCUCAGAACCCCAAAGGAAACCACGGUGGGAAAAAUCAUGGACUCGUGCAUCAAAAUGUUGGGAAUGACAGAGGAUAAGAGUCUCUUCAUACUGAAAGAAACGCAAGAGUCAUCAGAGGAGCUUCCACCAGAUCAGCAGAUUGGGAGUCUGCUGACAUCGAAGUCAGAGAACAGACAAUUGGAGCUGCAUUUGUGCAAAACAGAGAAGUCAACAGGGACGUCUUCUCAAAAUAAUCCAGAGGUCAGCUCUGAUGAGAACAGCAACAUCAAUAAAAAUGUCCAGGUGAACCAGCCAGCUAAAGAAGAGAGGAUCAGGGAGCUAAACCAACAGGUGGACUCGCUACAAAAUGUCAUCCUUCAGGUCCAGGAGCUCCACCACGGCCUGGUAGCAUUUUGCUCAGAGUUAAAGAGCAUGGAUGGAGACGUGAAUGCAGACAGGCUUGGCUCUGCUGAGCUGAAGCUGAGGCUGGAGCUGGUUAAAAGCCAACUGAACGACAAGAGGCAGAGCCUGCAGGCCCUCAGAGACAAUAUCAACAACUCUGCUGCUCACAAGAAGAAGCCGCUGGAUGUUCGUCUCUUGGAAAAGAUGAAGCUGAACUGCCAAGUGUUUAAGGAGGAGAUUUCCAUGGUACACCUCAACCGACAGGUGGCUCACCUCCAGAACGCUUUGCAAGAAAGCUACGUCAAGGAGAAAUCUCGAAAAAAGACUUUGGACGUCUGCAGCCUGAGCCAACUUGUGUCCCUGCAGUCCCCGGCCAUGCUGCUGGUCGUACAGGAGAGCCGAGACCCUGAUGGUCAUUAUGGCUUCAUGUGUCGCUACAAAGACGGAAGUGGACUGGUGGUGGCCAAGGUAGACAACUCUCAACUCUGUGUGGAUGACAGACUGGUAGAGGUGAACGGCAUAUCAGUGGUCAACUCUACACAGGAAGAACUGACUGACAUCCUCCUGCAGGGACCAAGCGCUCAAAUUGUCGUCCUUCGCCAGCCCCCACCCAUCCUCACCUCCCAGCAGCGCCCCCUGCUCCCGCAGCACACAGCCCGCCCUGAUCCCAUUCAAACGAUCUGCCCAGAGAGGGAUGUGGUCACCAUGGAAACCCCUCCAUGUCGCAGGGUGAUGGCCAUCUGAUGACAGGAGAUUAAGACAGAGACAGAGGGAGAAACAGUGGUGAUGAGGAUGGAUAUAAGGGUUUCCACUAUUUUGAUGUCUGUCUAUAGGCUGACCCAUGAUGUUAAAUGCCAAUGCCAUCUCUCAUUAGUUAUUUACCUCCAUCCGUCAAACUGUAAUGAUAAAAAUGUUCUUUAUGGAUUGCUGCCAAAUGCCUUUUUGUUAGGAAUGUCAAAUUGUGAUGUGUUUUUGUGUUUUUAAAUGUCGCCACAUGUGCAUAACUUUGUUCUUGGUAGAUAGUAGACGUAUCCACCAUAUUGUUUCGAUGUAUGUAGGCAGAACAAUGACUAUGGAAAACAUAUUUCUGGACAAAAAAAACACAAAAAAACACAAAGGCUACAUUCAUUUCUUUUUUUUCUAAUCCUUCCUGUUUUAUAUCAUAUUUGUGGCAUGAGGGAAAAUGAAAAGUAAAAAAAGAAAAAGAAAGGUUGAGAGGCUGAUAGAGCAUUGCUCCACUGGAUACGUGAUAAGCAUUUCUUUUUUAGCAUCCAACCGAGUAUUUCGGUAAGGUACAACAAUAUGAGCCUGAUGAGGGCUCAGGAUGCUUUACCUUUUUGAAGUACAGAUAGAAUCCAGAUAGAGUCAAACAAUGUCAAACUACAGUGACGUAGCGUAAAGACACGUCCGAAAGCUUUGAACCCUAUCUGUCUCUCCAUGCAGAUUAGACACUAAGAUGGUCGGGAACACUGAUGAGAGCAGAACAUGUCUUAAAAAAUGAGUCACGUCUCCCCUUUGUAUGCUGUAAUGUAAUCCACUGUGCUGUAGGAAUAAACCCUUGGGCCCGGAAAUGCCUCAUUUCUCAGCCUUGUUCUCCCUCCUUAAGUGGCAGUGGAUCAUGCAAGUCCGACAGAAAGACAGCACAAACACUACCAAACCAUGACCCAGACCCCUGGGGUCCAAAGAGCCUGAGAGGAGAAGUGAUGAGACCAGUUUGGCCUGUCAGCUGAUGAGAAAGGUCACAGGUCAGCCACCAAUACAGUUGUGCAUUAAUGGUUUUGCAAUCAAAGGCAAAUGAGUUCCAUAUAAUCCCGAUGAUGAGAGGGAUGGUAUUUUCUGGUUGCCAAACAGACCCACAGGGAGGGAGGAGUAUGAUACAGGGAGGCUGGAGAUUUGAGAGACUUAGUCGCAGACAUGGGAAAUUGAAGUCAAGUGCCACAAUGUUCAUUUACCCACUGACACUGAUGAAUCAUAAUGAUAUAUCUCAGGAUACGUAACAAUAUAGACAGAACUGAGAGACACAGACAGGAAGAGAAGAAGAAAAAACCUGACAAUGAUGAUGAUACUAAUUAUCAAAAUAACCAUACAGCAGGGACCAAGGCCGAUCCGGUCUCGUCUUUCAUGCAGCAGAGAGAGGCAGGCGUAGACAUUCAUAGCUCAAUAGAGUAAAGCCACACAGAGUGAGAAGGCAGAGGAGAGAAUGUGUCAUGGCUGCCUUUAUGGAAAUAAAUUAACACUGGAGAAAAUGAGACAAAAUCCUAUAAACACUGCCGCUGGCAAGAGUAGAAAGACACCGUGGGAUUCCCAGUGACCAACACACCCCAGAACACACACUCGCAGGCUUUGAUACUUCAGCUAUAAACCACUUGCAAGUUGUCAAUCUGAAACGCAGAAGAAAUCCAUCUGGGUGAGUAAUUGAAGUGACACCAUGAAACCUUCAAAACUUUUCAAACGAGGCAGCCAAAUCGAGAGGAUGAACCGCAGGAC
ensembl:lncRNA